AUUGAACGCUGGCGGCAGGCCUAACACAUGCAAGUCGAACGGUAGCACAGAGAGCUUGCUCUCGGGUGACGAGUGGCGGACGGGUGAGUAACGUCUGGGAAACUGCCCGAUGGAGGGGGAUAACUACUGGAAACGGUAGCUAAUACCGCAUAACGUCGCAAGACCAAAGUGGGGGACCUUCGGGCCUCUCACUAUCGGAUGAACCAAAGUGGGAUUAGCUAGUAGGCGGGGUAACGGCCCACCUAGGCGACGAUCCCUAUCUGGUCUGAGAGGAUGACCAGCCACACUGGAACUGCGACACGCUCCAGACUCCUACGGGAGGCAGCAGUGGGGAAUAUUGCACAAUGGGCGCAAGCCUGAUGCAGCCAUGCCGCGUGUAUGAAGAAGGCCUUCGGGUUGUAAAGUACUUUCAGCGGGGAGGAAGGCGAUGUGGUUAAUAACCGCAUUGAUUGACGUUACCCGCAGAAGAAGCACCGGCUAACUCCGUGCCAGCAGCCGCCGUAA
rnacentral:rRNA from 1 species